rnacentral:rRNA from 1 species
AUUGAACGCUGGCGGCAGGCCUAACACAUGCAAGUCGAGCGAGCGGCGGACGGGUGAGUAAUGUAUGGGGAUCUGCCUGAUGGAGGGGGAUAACUACUGGCAACGGUAGCUAAUACCGCAUACAAUCAGAGGAUCCCAUAUUGGAUUAGCUUGUGGGGGAGGUAACGGAUCACCUAGGCGACGAUCCCUAGCUGUUCUGAGAGGAUGAUCCGCAACACGUGGACUGAGAAACGGCGACGACUCCUACGGGAGGCACCAGGGGGGAACCUGGCAAAAUGGGCGCAAGCCUGAUGCAGCCAUGCGGCGUGUAUGAAGAAGGUCUUCGGUUUGUAAAGUACUGUCAUUUGGGAGGCGUUACCGAAAGAAGAAGCACCGGCUAACUCCGUGCCAGCAGCCGCGGUAAUGC